rnacentral:rRNA from 1 species
CCCUUAGAUGUUCUGGGCUGCACGCGCGCUACACUGAAGCUAUCAACACGUUUUCCCUCCCUGAGAAGGGCGGGUAACCUUUUGAAUCAGCUUCGUGGUAGGGAUCGGGGCUUGCAAUUGUUCCCCGUGAACCAGGAAUUCCUAGUAGACGCGAGUCAUAAGCUCGCAUCGAUUAAGUCCCUGCCCUUUGUACACACCGCCCGUCGCUACCACCGAUUGAACGUUUUAGUGAGGCAUUUGGACCGACGCAUCUCAGUUUAACCGCUGGUUUGUGUUGGAAAGACUUCCAAACUUGAGCGUUUAGAGGAAGUAAAAGUCGUAACA